AACGAACGCUGGCGGCGUGCCUAACACAUGCAAGUCGUGCGAGAAAGUUCCUUCGGGAGCGAGUAAAGCGGCGCACGGGUGAGUAACACGUAGGUAACCUGCCCCCCAGUCUGGAACAACUAGAGGAAACUCUAGCUAAUGCCGGAUGAGACCACGAUCCCUUCGGGGGUUGCGGCCAAAGAUGGCCUCUACUUGUAAGCUAUCGCUGAGGGAUGGGCCUGCGGGCCAUUAGCUUGUUGGUGAGGUAACGGCUCACCAAGGCUGUGAUGGCUAGCUGGUCUGAGAGGAUGACCAGCCACACUGGGACUGAGACACGGCCCAGACUCCUACGGGAGCAGCAGUGGGGAAUAUUGCGCAAUGGGCGAAAGCCUGACGCAGCGACGCCGCGUGGGUGAUGAAGGCCUUCGGUCGGUAA
rnacentral:rRNA from 1 species